rnacentral:rRNA from 1 species
UACAGAGGUCCCAAGCGUUGUUCGGAUUCACUGGGCGUAAAGGGUGCGUGAGGUGGCGAGGUAAGUUUGAUGUGAAAUCUCCGAGCUCAACUCGGAAACUGCAUUGAAUACUAUCUUGCUCGAGGGUUGGAGGGAGACUGGAAGUUCCUGGUGUAGCGGUGGAAUGCGCAGAUAUCAGGAGGAACACCGAUGGCGAAGGCAGAUCUCUGGCCGUAACUGACGCUGGAGGCACGGAAAGCCGUGGGUAGCAAACAGG